rnacentral:rRNA from 1 species
ACGGCGAGUGAAGCGGCAACAGCUCAAAUUUGAAAUCUGGCCUUUGGGUCCGAAUUGUAAUUUGUAGAGGAUGAUUUUGGUGCGGUAUCUUCCGAGUUCCUUGGAACAGGACGCCUUAGAGGGUGAGAGCCCCGUACGGUUGAAUGCCUAGCCUCUGUAAAUCUCCUUCGACGAGUCGAGUAGUUUGGGAAUGCUGCUCUAAAUGGGAGGUAAAUUUCUUCUAAAGCUAAAUAUUGGCCAGAGACCGAUAGCGCACAAGUAGAGUGAUCGAAAGAUGAAAAGCACUUUGAAAAGAGGGUUAAAUAGCACGUGAAAUUGUUGAAAGGGAAGGAUUUGUGACCAGACUUUUUCUGGGCGGAUCAUCCGGGGUUCUCUCCGGUGCACUUUGCCCAGUAAAGGCCAGCAUCGGUUUUCGGCGGGGGAUAAAAGCAGUAGGAAUGUGGCUCUCUACGGGGAGUGUUAUAGCCUAUUGUAUAAUACCCUGCUGGGGACCGAGGUACGCGCUUCUGCAAGGAUGCUGGCGUAAUGGUUAUCAAUCACCCGUCUUGAAACACGGACCAAGGAGUCGAACAUUUGUGCGAGUGUUUGGGUGAUAAACCCUCACGCGUAAUGAAAGUGAACGGAGGUGAGAGCCCUUACGGGUGCAUCAUCGACCGAUCCUGAAGUUUUCGGAUGGAUUUGAGUAAGAGCAUAACUGUUCGGACCCGAAAGAUGGUGAACUAUGCGUGGAUAGGGUGAAGCCAGAGGAAACUCUGGUGGAGGCUCGCAGCGGUUCUGACGUGCAAAUCGAUCGUCAAAUCUGCGCAU